CGGGAUGGCAUGGGCGAAGCCUGAUCCAGCAAUGCCGCGUGAGUGAUGAAGGCCUUAGGGUUGUAAAGCUCUUUUACCCGGGAUGAUAAUGACAGUACCGGGAGAAUAAGCUCCGGCUAACUCCGUGCCAGCAGCCGCGGUAAUA
rnacentral:rRNA from 1 species